AUUGAACGCUGGCGGCAUGCCUUACACAUGCAAGUCGAACGGCAGCACGGGUGCUUGCACCUGGUGGCGAGUGGCGAACGGGUGAGUAAUACAUCGGAACGUACCUUAUCGUGGGGGAUAACGCAGCGAAAGUUGCGCUAAUACCGCAUACGCCCUGAGGGGGAAGCGGGGGACCGGAAGGCCUCGCCCGGUUAAAGCCGCCGAUGUCUGAUUAGCUUGUUGGUGAGGUAAAAGCUCACCAAGGCGAUGAUCAGUAGCUGGUCUGAGAGGACGAUCAGCCACACUGGGACUGAGACACGGCCCAGACUCCUACGGGAGGCAGCAGUGGGGAAUUUUGGACAAUGGGGGCAACCCUGAUCCAGCAAUGCCGCGUGAGUGAAGAAGGCCUUCGGGUUGUAAAGCUCUUUUGUCAGGGAAGAAACAGCAGCUCUAACACAGUCUGCGAAUGACGGUACCUGAAGAAUAAGCACCGGCUAACUACGUGCCAGCCGCCGCAGUAA
rnacentral:rRNA from 1 species